CAAAAGGCUUGUGGGUGUCUUUCAAUCUGAAACAGUGAAAAACAUGUGAGAAUGAAUGAUGCCUUUUCCGACUUUCUGGUGCUUGUUGUGGGAGGUUGUCGUUGUCACAGGUUUGCUCAAGGUAAUUGGCUCCUGAGACUUUGUCUUGGAAGGACCUUGUUAUUGGAGUGGCUUUGUUACUGAGGAAAAUGAAAAAAGAAAACCAACCAAAACCACGAAGAUGACCCUGUGGGAUGAAAUACUCUGCUUUCUAACAUGGACAAGGAAGCAGGUCCAGAUGAGGAACAUCAACCAUUUGGAAGAGGUAACUCUAUGUACUCUCUAAGAGCUGGGCAGAGGUAUAAUUUAGGAACUGGUUAAUUAUUUGUGUUUUUUGAGCUGCAUCCAAAGGUCCCGAGGAAUUAGGAGGCAUAAAAAUGCCCCAAGUGUGGGGUAGGGCACGAGAUACCGAGUUUGCUGAUUGUUAGUAACCUCCUUAAUAAUUCAUAAGACACUCAACCAUAUGAAUAUAACACAUAUUCUACCAGUUCUGCACUUGGGCCGUGUUGCUAAAAAGGUUGUUUUUGGUGUAGCCAGGAGGCAGAGCAACUUAAAACCUGCUGAAAAUCAGGGAGCAGGUUUGGCUUAAGCACAGCCAGAAACAAUGCAGCCUGUACCAUUUCUCCUUGCCCUGUAAAAGUGCAGUUGAAUACUGCAGCUGCUGGCUGAUGUCACGAUAUUGCUCUCAAACAGAAAAUAAAAAGCUUUAAAAAUUGCCUAGUACUGUAAGAAAGUACACUGCUGCACCAAAUGUAUUUUUGAAAUGUUUAUUUAUGCUUAUUUCAGGUAAAAAUGUGCCAGUAGAAGUAAAUUAGCCUCGUUCAGAUAAUACAGGUAGCUGCAAACUUUGGCUGUCCUCUAAUUCCCAAACACUUAUCCCCACAUACACUUCCCGUUCCCUCACUCUCCUCAGCUGGAAAAGUCAUUAUCUGAACUGAGAGCUUUGCAUCUGUCAGCUGGGAAAGUGAUUACUCAAAUUGAUAGCAAUAGCAGUUGUUGUAGUUUGAAAUAGCUGGCUAUGCAGGGUUUGAAAAUUUUUUUGGGGGGGAAAGUUGUUCUUUAGUCAGUUUAUGUUACUGUUGUUGUGAACAUCACAGACCUAAAGAAUAUCAACAGCUCAGCUUCCUGCUGAGACUUGGACAGGAAAACUUUGGAAAUGAACUGUCCCUGAUAAAAUACGUGAGAAUGACUUUGGAGAGAAUGGUCUUUCAAUGUUAAUAAUUGCACUAAAGCACAGAAAGUGUUUAUUUACAUCCCUUUCUUUAGGCUGCAUCACCUCCAUCAUUUUUUAUGCUGAUAUACAGGUGAGAGGCAAAUAUUGGUGGCAAAUAUCAUCCUGGGGACCCAUUCCUUGUCCUCUAGAUAUCUCAGGGUCGAAGCCACCAAGAAUUAGGGACGCUCUAAGUAUGUUGAGUGGCUUGCAAGCGGUAUUCUGUUAGAGGAAAAAUGGCCGUGUAGCCAACCUCGACCCUUGCCCAAAUCAUCUUUUUCAGAAACAUGUGAAUUGCCUUUGCUACGAAGGACAUAACAAAUAUUUUGUCCUUCUGAAAAGUUGUUGCCCGAUGUCUGAAACUUUGCUUUAACAAAUGUAGGCCAGCUCCAAAAUGCUCAAAAGUGUGACUUCAUUGAAUGUUCUUAAAAUUCAUAUUUAGUUCCCAAAUAAGUAGCCUGAUUUUCCAUAACACUGUGCAAUCAGUCUCAUUGACCUCACUAAAAGUGUCUGCCUUCUCAGCAUUUCCAAAAAAGAAAUGUGUUUAGAAGUCAAAUAUACUCAGAGAGUCUUUGCUUGUUAAUGUUUUCAAAAGAACGUACUUUUUGAAAGUAUUGAACUUUUUCUGUUCACGUGUUCUUUGAGGGACAUAUCCAGGAUGAAUAAUUGUUACGUGUUUAUCUUCAGAUACUUUUAUAUUAUCUUAUUCUAAAAGGAUAUUAAUCUUUUAUUAGAUUUGAAUAACAUGAGAAGAUUGAGAUGUUUUUGGCUGUGUAGGAAAUAAAGGAACGCUUGUCUCCACUGUCCUGUUGUGGAUUUGGCUUGGAAAAUAAUUUAUGUGGAAAAUUCUAUCUCCUUAUUUCAGGUGGUUUCAGAGUUUAAAUGAUACUUGGAUUAACAUGAUCUGGUUUUGGACUCAAAUGUUGUCUGCCCUAGAACUUCUGAUCCUUUGUGUUUUGUCAUUUAGACUCUUACCUCACACAUUUUUAUAACCUGAAAUAACUUGUUGUCAGUUUGUUAUUGAAUGAACUUUUUAUUAUUCUUAGACCUGCUAUACAAAUACCGUUAACAAUCCUGUUAUUUACCCUGUGAAAUAUCACAAGCUGUUACGAGUAUUUUAUUAAACAUGAGGCAUCUCAAUAAAUCUUAUAUAUUUAAUUUGUCACAAAAAGUAACUGUGCAAAGUUCAGAAUAUAUUCCUGGAAUACUUUUUUCCAGACAGGAGACCCGACUUUUAACUCUUCCUGGUAAUCUUAUGGUGACAAGAGUUAUUUGGUAUUUAAAUGUAUGUGCUGUGCUCUUUUGACUCACUCUUACUUGUCAGACUUCACACUUAGUAUUGUGGGGUUUUUUUUCCUCCCCUUCUGUAUUUCUUCUUAAGGGUCUGUUUAAGGUAUUUUCUCUCCAUUAGAAGCAUAGUGAGUUUUCAUUAAAAUGUCACAAAAAAUCUUUGCAAACCCGAGCGCAGUUCCCGUGGCUUUGGGAAUGUCUUGUGCAUUUGCCUUGAACCUUGAAGACCGGGGAGGUGAACCUGUGAGGUGGUUCUGUACAAAGGAAAAGAGGUGAUGUGUUAGCAAGCAAAACAUGAUUGUAACAUGCAGCCCCGAGGCUGAGAAAUAUUUUAAAAUGCUACAAAAGGUCCCUCCGCAGCCUCCCAGAGUGUCUGUCUGGAGGCCUCCAAGUUUUCGGGGGUGAAAAUCUCUGCAAUGCCUGCAACAGCUGCAUUUGCUUGCCGGUGUUUGCUUCUCGCAGAAAUUCCAGCACUCAAAUCAAGAGGUGCUGGUGGUCCCUUUAUAGCGCUUGGCCAAGUGGUUCCCGUGUCCUUCCGGAGAGAAAAGGGCCUGAGAUGCCCAACGCGGCCGUGGCCGUGGGGACCAGCACCAGUGGGACCCGUGGCUGUGGAACAUGGUGAUGCAGACUGGAAGGUUUUCUGCUCUGAUGUCUUCUGAUGCUCAGUUUAUAUUUCCAGUGUCUUCUUGAAUCUCAUUUUACAUGCCCCUCCAGGUGUGAGCGUUUCCACCUUUCACUAGGAAAAAUGUUUAACAUGCAUUAAACCAACCAGUAAUUCCCUUCCAUCUUAAUUACUUUUUUAUUUUAUUGUUUCGGUGAGGUUGUAUCCACAAAAUAAUAAUACCUCUCUUUAGUUUUCCUCUGAUUGUCUUUGUUCUUAUUGCAAAUAUUUUUAUAGCAAUAGAAAAGGACAAUUCUGAUACGCUGCUGUACAUUUUUCUAACGAGUCCACUCUUCUACAGUCUUACAUCUUGCCCAUGUUUCAUACCCAUCCAGACCAUUACAGAAUGAUGCCACGCCAGGACACUUAUGUUUGUGUCUACUUUGCAGAGAUGAAAAUGAUGGCAUUGAGUGUGAGAGCUGGAAGAUUGACCAGCAAUUAGAACAUGGGAAGCGAGAACCCACAGCACCUGCAGCAUCAUUAGGUACUCGCUGAUUUUAUCCGUAGACCUCAUUGUUAGACACUCUACGUGCAUAUACUGCUUGUAAAAGUACCUCUUUACGUGGUAUUUUUGCUCUAAACUCAUGGUUCUCUGUCCUAGAAGAAUCAUCUUUAUUGGGCAAGGAGACACGGGUGCUGAGUAGCCCACGUUCAUCUGAUGUGACAUGUGUGUCCCCUCCUGUCAUCUAUUUAAACCCUGGAGUGGCAGGAAAUGGGAGCGCCUGGAACAGGCUUUUACAGCCCAUUUUCAUCAAGGUUGUGUCAGAAAAUAAAAGGCCAUUUGCUUGUAGGGUGUUCCUAAUGUCUCAGGAGGUACUUUAGUACCUCCAGAUCAAGAAAAGGUUAUAUUGCUUACUAAAAACAACUUAAAUAUUUCUGCCCAAUUCAAAAUGACACUGAAAUGGAAACAUUUCAGGUGAAAAGGUGGAUAGAUACUGCGGGUGAGAUACAAACUUUUAUUUUUAAUAAUAAUAACUGGUUGUUUCCUUCCAUGUGAUUGGGGUUGGGUUUUUUGCAAGAUAUCUUUGCAAGAUAAUAAACAUACCUAUAUUAUGCUGGCUUUUUUUGUUUUUCUUCCUGUCUUACCUGAAUGUUGACCAAGUUCUAUGAUACGAUGACAAUCCUUUUGCUGGACUCUUUACGUUUCUCGAGAAGGUAGCGUAAAAUUACUGUUAAGCUGCUUUUCAUACUUCAUAGGGUAAACUUAAUUCUAAUUCCUAUCACCAACAGCACCUGUGGAUCUCAUUUGUAGUACUCUUAAAUUUUCGUAUGCCCACUGAACAGAUUUGAUGCACCCGUUUCAAGCUCAAACAUAUCCCCAUGUUAUAUUUCAAUAACUUGAACACUUGAUUUGGUGAAGCAUUACUUUGCACACUGCUGACUCCUCUGUCAUUUUGCUUACAAGAAAUAGUUUUCAAAGCACCUACUGCUGAACAUCAAAAAUAAAUACUAACUUCAGUGAGUGGAAUUUAUACCUGCAUGAUAAUUGAUUGCAACUGCAGGAUCUUACCUGGUUUCAGUGAAUAUUAUGUCCAGUAAGACUGUAGAACUCGGAAAAAUUCAUUGCAGAUUGGAAUUGUCGGUUUUCUAAUCAUUACCAAGGACUCCAUGUGCAGAACUUGCAGUGCAGGUUGAACAAGUAGGAGAGAGAUUUUGAAGGGAAAUAGAAAGAAGAAAUUUUACUUAGUUUCCAAAGCAAUUACUGGCAUUUCAAGAAGGGAGUUUGGCAAUUCAGCAGUAUGUCAGUCUGAAAAUGUUUGGGUUUACAUGGGGCAAACCACCAUGAAAUAACAGUUUAACCAGGGUAUGUGGAGGUACGGGAGGAGUUUUAUCUCGGAUUGAAAAUGAAAAGUUGAGCUUUUCCCAUAUUAUAAAUAAAAAUAUAUUCCCGUGAUAUCCUAUACAAAUUUGCUGUUUUAACGGCUGUUCUACCAUUUUAUACAUUUAGUGCAGCUGAAAUCAUUUAACCUUUUUGGAAGCCAAUAAACUGAACUGAGAUAGCAGUCUGAAUUGUGGAUUAGUUAAAAGGGUUACAAUUUAUGGCUACUUUACAACGAAGGACAGAAAACAUAGAGGGUUUACUACUUAGUUUUAACUAGUGGUAAAGUGCAAACUGGACAGAGACUGCUUCUUUUCAUUGAUAUUUAUUUCAGUUUGUCUACAUGAGGAAAAAUGCAUCUUAUUACCAAGAACAGAACUGACUUGCCCAAAUGAAAAUCACUCCUGAGCAGGCAAGGAAACUAAAUGAGAUUUUUCUUUCCAUCAGUUAAAAUACAAAUUGCCCUGUGAUCAUUUGGAGUUUAUAGAAGAGAACUCCUGUUUCAUGUGGCGUCUCUGGUCAUGGACUCAGGGCAGAUUCACCAGCCCAGCAGCUCUGCCUCUAGAUCCAAAGGCACAGGAGAGCAGCAUAAAAGUUUCUCCAAUGUCAGAAUCUAUUUCCUUACUUUUGACAGUAGCUAACAUUUUGUGAUAUAUAUACACAAACCCAUAGGCACAUAAUGAAACAGUUUGUUUUAUGAGGCUACAAGGACAUGUGUGGCAAAGAAAUAUCAUGCAUUUUAGAAUUUUGUAGCAAUGCAGAUUAUUCAUGUUUUACGUGAUGCUUGAAGUUAAUAUUUUGUAAUCUUGCUGUGGUUGUGCUGUGUAAAAUGAGGUUGGGUUUUACCUCAGUAACACAUCACCAUCCAUCAGAAACAUCAACUGACUCCCAAAAUUUCUCAUUUUUGUAAUCUCUGGUUCUACCACGGGAAGGUUGUGAGAAUUGGGACUUUGUUCUGGGUUUUGAAGAGGUGUUUUGAAACGGUUCUUGCGUUGUUGUUUUGUGGUGUAAUUGGGUGAAGUCCAUAGAGAUUGAGGGACUCCUUAAACCACCAGUGCAAAUGCUGAGGUUAGAUUUCAGAGAUUAUUAAGUUAUUGUUAUUAGACCAAAUACGUUAUGUAUUUAAAGCAUUUCUAUCAUUCAGAUUCUUUCAUGCUUCUGGAAUUCACAGAGUAUUUUCCUUGACAGGAAGGAUUUCUUAAAAAAAUAUCUUAAAAUGUUUUUGAAAUUUUUAAUUGAGUAAAAAGAAAAACCUUAUCAGUUGAAUUGUUCUCUGAAGUUUUAGCGGAAAAUUAUUUUUUUUGUUUCAUUUGACCGACCUAAAAAUUCCUGAAAUCUGAAUAUCUACCUUGGCUUUUUGUAGUCUCAUAAGCUCAUUGCUGCUGUCACCAUUUUGUGGAUGAGGAAUAGACUGAACUUUUAACUGGUUAGAAAAAUGUUCAUUUUCAAGCAAGUCUCUAUUUCCUCCAGAGAUGAAGCUGAAAGAGAAAAGUCUAAAGCAAUACUUCUUGAGGGUCACUUGAAGUUAUUUGAUUGAGGAUGAUGUUGUGUGGAUUGUAAUGGUUCUCAUACCAAAAAAUAUGCAACAAAUGGUCAUUAAAUCCCUGUGGUGAAUGGUGGCAUUCUGGUAGCUGAGGACGAGGUUCCUGGUUAGGAGAUGGUGAGUGUUACCUCACGGCUUUGUCGCUGCUGAAUUUGCUCUGUUUUGAAUUUGGAUGAAUAAUUACUGAAGUUUUUUGUGUUAGCUUCUAACUUUAAAGCUGUUUUCUUUGUUGAUAUUAAAAGGACUUGCAUUUUUAAAAUCACUUUUGUGCUUUUCGGUUUAAUAUAUUCCACCUAAGGAAGUUCUGUUGUUUACAAAGAUGAAAACAUAUCUUAUUCCCCUUUCACAGUUAAGCAGAAAUGCAGAGGUUGUAAGUGACUUUCCACAGUAAUGUUCAUGUCAAAAUCUGGGCCAGAAUUAUAGCUGGGGAUGGGUACAAACUUACAGGGAUCAUGAAAUUAUUGUAGAUGAAUUCAAGAUACUGAAAUCUGUAUAGUCUAUUAAUAGAAAACUGUGCAAAAUUACUUUCAAAGGUUGAAGCUUACUAAGUGGUUUCAUGGGUUUGUCGAGCUCUUGAGGGGGCAGAAACCAGAAUCAGCCCCUUGCAGAGAAGUUAUGAUAGUAGUUGAAUAUAAAUAUUUUUCCUUCAAAAUUCUGUAGGCGCUUUCUGGUCUUCAUGGGAAUUGAAGGAGAUGUAGUUGCUAAAUAGAAGGUGUGAUGAGUCGAUGGAUCCAUUGCUUUCAGUGUUGCUGACCAUGAUACCAACACCAGUCCUUGAAGCAGGUCCUGAAGGGCAUGAAAUGUUCUUCAGUAAGACCCAGCACAACUUAAUUCAUGUUAAAGUGUAGGUGAUUAACUAAGCUCAGUGAUUUGCCAACAGCUUUCCCAAAAACUUCAUUUUCAACCAUUGUCAUAAUAGAGCAAGUACACUUUUUUUUGUUUUUCUAACUCUAAUCCCUUUGUUCAGAUUAGUUGGGAAGCAAGUUGAGGUUUUUGUAGAAGUGAGGCUGUAACUUCGGAACUCUUUCACAUCUCUUAGCUUUUGGUUUUUCUUUGGAGCAUCAGAUAUUGCUGAGGUGCAAGAAGGUUGCCAUCCAAAUCCACCGUAAAUUGCCACACACACACAUACAACAACUUUGAAGAUUAUUUCCCACCUAAUUUCCUAGAGUAAAUGGGACCUUUACCCAUCAGGUACACGUGAAUAUUCAGAAAGUAUGAAUUUCUGGCUACAGGAAUGAAAGCCAGCUAAAUUGUCAAUGACAAGUUGAAUAUAGAGAAAAGUUGUCUGGUGUGCUAAAACGAUACAGUCAUAUCAUAAUGCAUGAUAUGUCAUGAAAUGCAUUGAAAAACAACAACAAAAAAAUCAAGACAGAUAUAACAUAAUUGCAAGGUUCUCUUUCUUCCCAUGAAGAUCAUCAGCAUACGGUAAGUCUCUUAAAGACCAGUGUUUAAAUUAUUAAGACUGCCAGUUCAAUGAAAAAGUAAGAGCUCAAUUCAAUAAUUCAUGACAACAAUUCAAGGCAAAGCACACAAAAUAUUUUUAGCACGUGUCUCAAGAAGAGUUGCACACAGAAAUCCACAAUAUGACAAUGUGCGGCGUUCCAUCGUGCUCUUAUCUCUUAGGUCUGGUAGAGGGAAUAAACAUUUUUUCCUGAUGAGAAAAUCAAAGUUGUUGCCAUUUCAGUGAAGUCAAGUUGACACCUGCGGAGAAGCAAGUCAUGACAUUUUAGCUGACUGCUGUUUUUUCUGACCCCCCCUCUAGUUGCGGUUUGUUUCUUCAUUUUAUUUACUCUGACAGACAAAAGGAACCUAGAUGAAAAUGUUUAGAUGAGGAUUUGGCAUCCUUUCUCAUGCUUUCUUUGAUUUCCCUCUGUUAAAUAAGUAGCUCGUGCAUUCUGCGCUAUGACAGAUCUACAGAGGAGAAAAACACUUGAACAUAUUUGUAUUAAAACACUGUGUCCCUCCUUUCCCUGUGCUCCUCGCCCCCACCCUGAUUUCUCAAAUGUAGCUGCAUUUAUCAAGAUAAUAAGCUUUAGGUUUCUUAAUAAGAGAUAUAUUCAUGUCAUCCUGGCAUAGUCCUGACUGACCGAGCCAGUAAGAUCCUUAAAAAAAAUGAAUUUAGGAUCAAUAAUAUUUAUAGCUUCAUUUAUAAAGCAAAAGUCAAAGGCAUAUAUAAUGCUGAACUUACACCAGGGAUUUUGUUUACUAGCUCCUAAUCCUACCUCUACUUUUUAACAUCUCGCUCUCUAACAAAAACAAAUAGAAUUUGCAGGUGUUCAUAAAUGUAAAAAAGCACAUAAAGAAGCUCAGAAAUUAUAUUGUGACCUAAUAUUGUAGCGUAAUGUACCCAUCAGCCGUGUUUUCCUGGCUCUAUCUUACUUUUCUUAACAGUGAAUACCAUUAAAUAAUAUGAUAAAGUUGUUGUAUUGGAAUUGAAAUACAUUUUAUUACAGCAAUAUAAGUUCCAUUUACUGUGCAAUAUGACAGUACUUAAUAAUUUUAUAUUACAAACAUAAUGACGAUAUCAAAUUAGUAAUUUUCACAGAGUACUUGCGUUAGACGCUCGUGUGAUAUGUUGCAGCAUAUUUCGAUUCUCUUUGGUGCCUGAAAAGAUACUUUUAAUGGGGAAAAAAAGCAGAGAUGCGGUAAAGGAAGCACCUUGUAGCUGCAUCGAGCAGUUUUGUAAGGACUCUUACCUAUUCAAUAGAUAUUACCUAGAUUGUUUUACAAUUAGAUCCCACUACCCUGUUGAUAAAUCUAGAAAAUUAAUGGAGUCUUAAAGUUGUGAUAAAUCUCCCUCUUUGGCAAUAAUGUCAAGUUUCCCCAAAAUUACUGCCCGCUAUUCUGAGCAGUCUCUUACUUAAUUUGGCCAAUUCCACUGGUGCCGGUAAGGCUGUUCCCAAUGGAGUGGGUUGUGGGGAACAUUAUGAGCUCCGGUUCAGACUCUGAAAGAAAAUCUGAGCUUGUGGAUCUGCAAAACACCCUUGGGAGGUGGAAAAAGGAUCAAUUUGUGUCCCACCGAUGUGCGGUUCCUCAUAAGGAACUCAGUUUUAAGGCAGGAACUGGAGACUCUUGUAUGCAGGUGAUGUAACUGUGGGAUCUUUUUUGCCUUUCCUUAGGAUUUUUUGCAUGAAAUUUAUUUUCUGUUCAGAUGGCGACAACUUUUGCAAUGCAAAUUAGUGCAAGGGUUUGUCUUUUAUCUUCUAAAAUAAGUGACAGAAUGCCAUGAAGAUCCGCCAGCAUUUUAAUAAACCUUUAAGAGUCUGCCUUAAAUACCAGUUUUCUAUACUAGAAAGCUCAUCAAUAUCUAGACAGCCAUGCAAACAGCUAGGAGGCCAGUCCAUUAAUGAAAUGUUAAUGACUGAAUUAGACCUGUAAUAACAGAAGUAGAAUGUACUGCUGUGAGUCCAUUAACAUCAGCAGACCCUGCUGGGAAACAAGUAAACACAACAUACAAAGGGAAAACUUGUGCUAAUAAACAGAUUUUGUGCAGUAAAGGUGCUCGGAAGCGUGAGUUGUAAAUCCCAUUCACUAGUGCUAGUGUCAUUUUUUCUCUUUCCGAAGUUUAUCCAAGCAACCUAGCUCAAUAUAUAUAUUUCACAAUAUAACGAAAUAUGCCCUGAUCAUAAGCCAAAACCUGCUGCUAAAUAUCCCGAUAUAGGCAUCUAUUGUGAUAUAUUGUAAAAAUAAACCGUGUUCAGCUUCAUACCAUGGCCAGUCCAGGUGGGUAGCAGGGAACAGUAGUUACCACCUGAUAGAUGGUUGACCCAAGUGAGAUGGAAUUUAUGAUCCCGAGCUAAGGCCCUGGUAGACAUCACAGAAACUACCCCAGUUGGCACUAAUUAUGAGUACUAUUAAAGUUUUAUAUUGUGCCUUAAAAGUUGAUUGUGCUCUGCAGAAGGUGUUAACCCUAACGAAGGCGAUGGGAAUAGCAGCGUUGCUAACGGCUUCAUCCGUGACCUUAUAACCCGCCGAGUGAGAGUUCUUGGCUUGGGAAUCUAGAAAUUAACGACUUUUUGAAGGAGAGCUUCCUUUUCCCCAAAAUAUAAUUCACCUUUUUGAAUAAAAGUGCAAUAAAAAUAGUUGCCUUUUCUUCCGGUCUUGGAAACCUCAGCAAUUUCCUGUAAGGCAAAAACCCAAAUAAUUUCCCACAUCUUCCCACUGUGCAAAAAAGCUGAAUUGUGGCAGCUUUUAUAAUGUGAUUGUCAAUAAAAAUUGCAUACAGCGUCGGUGCAUUGGAAAGCAAAGUUUGUGCCCACAGUGUGUGUCGUACAAAAUACAAGAGAAAAACCCCCGAUCUGCUGCUAUUACAACGUUUAGUCUUAUAUUGAGCUGUUUGAUUUCCUCCUUUUAACCUCCUCAGAUCUGCAGUGUCAGAAGCAGCUUCUGCACAACUCAGCAAGAUACCAAGGAAGGGAAAUCGGGGUAAUUUCCUCUGGAUUUUGUGGAUGUUGCUGCUUGUUUCCAUCUUCCCUGAUGCUGUCAUAGCAUCCCGUGUUACGUGGUCCCAUUCACAUGGCUUCUAGUGAGGAUCCCCACUGCUCUUUUUCCUUAGAGACAGAUGGGAACUUGUCGCCAAGAGUUAGAAAGCCAAACCAAUAUUAUAGAGGGAGCUGGGUGAUCCAGUAACUGGGGCACAGCAGUUUGUUCUUAAUGUGUCUCUGAUGACAUGAUCCUGUGUGACCACCUUCAUGUCACCCAUGUUUCUUUUCUUUUCCUUAAGCUUUGCAUUACAUUUUUAGUUGAUUUUUAAAAAUCAUUAUUACAAUAAGGCUCUUCUGUUGGUUUUGGUCUUAGAACUCCUACCAAGACCCAACUUGUAAUGAAAUAGGAAAAUAAAUAUAAUAUGCAGAAAUAAUGCUUGUAUUACGCGGUGAAAGACAUGAGAAGGGAAGAAUUGUUAAACUGUGUGCUGAAAUAACUGUCAAAAUGUGGUUGAAGUGGAGCGUGGGUGGGAAGAGUCUGUGUAGAGAACGUAAGUGGGGGGCACGCGUGAGUUAGCUGAGGACUGGUAGGACUGCUACAAGCUUUAAUGGUGGACUUUCCUCCCAUAGUGUUUAAUAUGGACUGCAGGAAUCCAAAUCAUCCUUCUAACCUGAUGUUUUGAGGAAAUACAUGGAAAUUGGAGACUAAAGUGUUUCCUUGGCUGGUGCUGUGGAUGCCCCACAUGGACACUCAUCUCACACUGUGGUUCUCACACGGCCAUGGGUGCAUGACAGGCAAAGAGUAGAUGAAGUAGUCAAAAGCCAUCAUGUCUCAAUCUUGUGUGAAUGUCUGCCUUUUUGGCAAGAUUUACAAAUUUUAACACAGCUCAAUAUCUUAUUCCUGCUCCUGGAAACCUCAAUGUAUCUCCCAUGGCGUUUUCCAAGGGGCUGCUUUUCUCCUGCCUUGCCCUCCACUGUAUGCGGGGGUUUAAUUUGUAUUUAAUUCUAUAAGAGUACAAAUACCUCCCCUCAUUUUCCCAGUGUCAUUAAAAGGAUCCUCUAUAGUAUUUCCAGGGGGGCUCAUUUGCAGUAAGGAGUAGGACACUUGAGUGAGAUCUGGGCUAUCUGUCCCCAGAUCCCAAGGUUGUCGUAGGCUCCAUGUGGCACCUUGAACAAAUCAGGUUUCAGGUCUGUAUCCCUUAAUUAGGGGUAAUGUCACCUCUCUAUCUUGCAGACGUGCCCAGAGGGUAAAACAAUUAAAGAAAACAACACUGGUGGACUUAUAAUACCUAGAAUUAAAAAUAUAUAUGUUAUUACUUCCCUUCAAGGACCAUUCUAAUAUAAAUUUUGGGCAGCUGUCUCGCUGAGUCCACAGUGGGCUUUUGGUUUUAUAUUUAUUUUCCUAGAAUACUGUAGCACUGAAGGACUGUACAGUGGAAGAUAAUUUAAUUAGAAAGAACACAGUGAGCUGAUUAUGUACAUUGAGAAAAUAAAUACAUCUGAAUACUGAAAGAAAUGUCAGUAUUAACUGUAAAUCCUCUGAAACACUUGCUACUUUUUCCCCUCUGCACAGAAAAUGCUUGUAAUGUUUUCUGAGCUGGGCUGGACUUUAGAACCACAAGUCUAUGAGAACCUUGUUAAUUAAUAUUAACAUUUUUUAUCUUCAGAAAAAGCCACUUCUUUUGACGUGGCAAGUUGAGUAAGUUGCACUGUGUGUAAUUUGCUCAUCAGCAGAACAGUCUUUUUCUGUCUUUGCCAUUUUUACUUGUAUCCUGAAGCAUUUGUCAGCUUUUUUACUGCAUUUUCACUGGCAAUCAGAAUUUUAGAGAGCAGGUUUUGUACGGUAUUCAUGACUGUGAACGUGAUACCAGAUCUAAAAUUGAAACCAUACAGUGAAAUGGUCCAUGAAGAGGAGGUCAAAGGCAAGUAGUAGCGUCUGACAAGAGAUCAUCUGGUGGUUCAGAGCUGAUGGACUAAUCCUCUCUCUGCAAUAUUUCCUGAGCCCUCCAGCACACUCUUUCAAUUUUGUGUCCCUCAAGAAUGAAAGAGAAACACUUGGCGAACAGAUUUUAGAUUUGAUGGCUGCAAAGCGAAGAAGGAAAUAGUAACAUGACAUAAGCUUUUCAGUAGAAAACUCACUAGAAAAAUAAGUUGAGGCAAGUUGUUCAACAUACUGGUUUAAUUGUGACAUCAGAUAUUCAGAGGCCACAGAUUUCAUUUUGUAUUGCGCAAUUUGCUAUUUUUCCUCUUUUUGGGGAAAACUUAGUACAGAUACAAGUGCGGAUCCAGUGGUAGGACCUCGGCUGAUGGUGGGAUGUAUUGUUUUUGUAAUGUAGGUGUGUUCAGUACCACAAUCUCCACUGACACCUUUGAGAAAUGGGGCUUUAGGUAUUUCACGAGAAGCCCAGCUUGUCUAAAGUCUUUCUUGAAGCUCUGUGUCACGUACAAGGAAAGCCUUGAUGGACCCGUGAUGCAUUGGAAGACAAAGCUUUGGUAGCAGCCGACUUUUCCAAAGCUCUUAGAACAAAAACUUUGAAAAAUUAUGAUUAAUACAGGACAGUGCAUGUGGUGCUUUGCCUGUAUGAGUGGUCCAGGAGAAACCUUUAAGAUAAACCCAAGUAAUAAUUUUACUGUCUUGUGCUCUUGUUGCUAAAUUGUUAACCUAGGAAAUCAAUAACACUUUCAUUUCAUAGCAUUUAUUGUUUCAACGUGCAGCAAUCAAACGUGUGUUUACAGCACAUGUAAAAGCCUGUGAUUCCUGCCCUUGGCUGAGCCACAAAUUAGUUUCAAAUAAGAUGCACUACAGUGGGAAGUGGAAUCGCAACAUGGCUGUAAGAGAACAAAUAACUGGGGAAAUGUUUGUAGCUAAUAGAGAGAAAUUAAGGAUAUUUGUGGUUUUUUGUGCACACAUAUUGAGAAAUCUGUUAUCUUCAGAAGGGCUUGGGCUGGAGUGUCCAGCUGUUGGAAGUGAGGACAGAGGUUUACAAACUGGUGGAAAGAAGGAGGGAGCGGACACGGCAGAAGAAGUGAUUUUGAAAAUAGAGAGAGAAGGAAGAACAAGAAGCUCGAAUGCAAUCUGGGAAAGCCAGAAAGAGACUCAGCAAAAAAGGGCAGAGGUGGUGAGUCUUCCUUGACUUUUCAAGGAUGAUAAUGUCAGUGACCACGUGUUUCAUCCAUUGCGUUGGGGUGGCAGGAGUCAGACCACAGAGAAAAACCUCUCGGCCAAGAAGUUUUAGCUCUGGGGACAGGCAGAAACACUGGUAGUGACACAGGUGACAGAUCAGGCUGGGCCUCGGAGCUCUGGAGCUGCUUGGCUCUGCUGUGACGUCCCACUCUAUUUCUCACCUCUAAUGUGGUGGUUUAAUUUUCUAAACCCACCUGCAGCUGAGGGAGGAUUGAUAUUAUUGAAUGACUGUAAAUGAGUGAUUAUAGUCUGUUUAUUAUACAAUAAAACAGCGUUAGGGCUUCCUGCUUUCCUGGUGUAGGAACCUGCGCCCUGAUGCUGCAGAGAGCAGGAGUCCCUGCAGCUGGACCCCAGGCACCAAUAGCUGCUUUUAGUCUCAUUUAGUCUCAAAGGGUAGAAAGAAGAAUUUUAGCAGAUAUAUUUGUCGGAUUUUGCUGCCCGGUGUCAUAUAGUGAUGUUUGCUGAAGUAUUAACUAUCACUUCAAAUUCUUCUCGCUUUGAGUCAUUCCAUCCUGUACAUAAUUUGAACAGGUUUUUGUAUAAUUAUUUCUCUCAAUAAUUACCAUUAUACAAUUGCUAUAGCUGCCACUUCUGUUUUGCUUUCCUGCCAGAGAAUGGCAGAAAUGUAUCACGCAUUUGUGUAACUUACGAUCUUUGAUUCAUGUUUAAAAUGCAUGGAAUAUUUUUCAUUUUCUGUUGGAGGCAAUACCUCAUCUGGGAUCGUAUCUCACAGCCUUAAGUAUACGCUGUGUAAAUGGAUGCCUGGCACUGAAAUGGGAUAUAAUCUACAAUGAAAUAGCAAAGGAAGUAAAAAAAAAGAGUUAAGUAAAUUUUUAAGGCAUCAGAGAGCCAGUGAAUAUUAAUAGAUACAGGUAGAGGUGUAGUGCAUCUGGCUGAAAUGUUUUGUAUAUGGUCUCAUUUUCCCUUUUAAAUAAAUUUGAUUUGCCCAUCAUUACAGCCUGUUGUUGACUUCAGAUGAGGAUUCUAGGAAAUCUUUUGGCUGGUGUGUGUGGUUUAUUGGCAGGGAGAGCAAACCGGAGUGUUCCUACUGGAUCGCUGAUUCAAGGAGUUAUUAUAAUCUCAAAAAGAGAGAAGAAAGAUGUUUAUUAGGGUUGAGUUUUCUCCGUGAUCUUGAUUUUUCCCCAGGGUAGGUGGGAGAAGGUGCAGUAGGUUGGAGGAAAGGAGCCGCAUGUGUCCACCCCUAGAAACCCUGCUCCCUUUUGAAAUUUGCCUUGGAGUGUCCCCUGAAGUACCUGAGAAAUGAAGAUUGGGGUGGAGAGACGAAAAAUGCCAGUUGCCAAACCCAACCUGUAUAAAAGCCUCAUGGGCGAGCAGGGGACAUGAGGGCAGCCCCUCCGUACCACAGAGAAACAGUGAAAUAACGACUCGCUCUAGAUAAAUCAGUGAUACUAUUUGAAAAUGGAUUUAGCGCUUUCUACCGACGAGUGUAAUGAGAAGUAUUACUAUCUUUAUGUAGGUUUGAUCCCUAAAUUCCCGUGUUUUUAAUCCUGUUUUUAUGGUGUGUAUGCAUUCUACAAUAAUAAGAAAGAUUCUUAAGGAAUGUGUAGCUCUUCGCAAAUAAUUUGUAUUAUGAUAAUUAUGUGUUCUCAUAGGACACAUCCAUAAAGAAACCAUGCCUAUGGUUUGAAAAGUACUACAAGGACUAUAUUCCAUAACACUUCCAAAGUCAGAAGAGGGGUAAACUUAGAGGAAAAAAACCCAAAACAAACACAAUUUAAUUUCAGGAUUCAUGCUGGAUUUUCCUUUGAAGCACUCCAAAAAUUGGAAUUUUUAAAAAGAGAAAGAAAAAACUCAGAAUAUGUGGAGUAUGUAGACAUGAAUAUGAAUCUUUUCCUGAGAUUAAAGUUUGCAUAAUGGCACAAGCAGUUUGUAAUUGCAGCUACAACAGCGUGCUUGGAAACGCAGUCGGGCCCUCUGUGUCCAUAUUGUAUUUUAGGCACAUGGGAGCUGGACUCUUUGCUUUUUCAAUAGUUUUACUUGAAGCGAGCAAACAGGGCGAGCACACAGAUGCAUUUGAUUACUAAUGAUCGUUAUAACGAGAGCAGUACCAUGAUUUAUUAGAAUAGUUGUCAACUGGGAUUCCAAGAAAAGGUAAUUGUUUCAGAAUUAUCCCCACAAUUAAUUUCACAUGUGUGAAGUCCAUUAACUCCCACUGCAGGCCGUGGGAGACGUGUCAAUGUUCACAGCAAGGGCUGAAUUUUGAGAUGG